rnacentral:misc_RNA from 1 species
UUUCUUUCGAGAAUUCACAGGGAGGCGGGGAGACGGGGAGGAAAAUCUUCAAAAUGCUCCCU